CUCGUAGGCGGUUUGUCACGUCGUCUGUGAAAUCCUGCAACUCAAUUGUAGGCGUGCAGGCGAUACGGGCAGACUUGAGUACUACAGGGGAGACUGGAAUUCCUGGUGUAGCGGUGAAAUGCGCAGAUAUCAGGAGGAACACCGGUGGCGAAGGCGGGUCUCUGGGUAGUAACUGACGCUGAGGAGCGAAAGCGUGGGGAGCGAACA
rnacentral:rRNA from 1 species